rnacentral:rRNA from 1 species
GUAGGUGGCAAGCGUUGUCCGGAAUUAUUGGGCGUAAAGCGCGCGCAGGCGGUUCUUUAAGUCUGAUGUGAAAGCCCACGGCUCAACCGUGGAGGGUCAUUGGAAACUGGAGAACUUGAGUACAGAAGAGGAAAGCGGAAUUCCACGUGUAGCGGUGAAAUGCGUAGAGAUGUGGAGGAACACCAGUGGCGAAGGCGGCUUUCUGGUCUGUAACUGACGCUGAGGCGCGAAAGCGUGGGGAGCAAACAGGAUUAGAUACCCUGGUAGUCCACGCCGUAAACGACGAGUGCUAAGUGUUAGGGGGUUUCCGCCCCCUUAGUGCUGCAGCUAACGCAUUAAGCACUCCGCCUGGGGAUACGGCCGCAAGGCUG